rnacentral:rRNA from 1 species
AUUGAACGCUGGCGGCAGGCCUAACACAUGCAAGUCGAGCGGAUGAAGGGAGCUUGCUCCUGGAUUCAGCGGCGGACGGGUGAGUAAUGCCUAGGAAUCUGCCUGGUAGUGGGGGUUAACGUCCGGAACCGGCCGCUAUUACCCCAUACGUCCUGAGGGAGAAAGUGGGGGUUCUUCGGACCUCACCCUAUCAGAUGAGCCUAGGUCGGAUUAGCUAGUUGGUGGGGUAAAGGCCUACCAAGGCGACGAUCCGUAACUGGUCUGAGAGGAUGAUCAGUCACACUGGAACUGAGACACGGUCCAGACUCCUACGGGAGGCAGCAGUGGGGAAUAUUGGACAAUGGGCGAAAGCCUGAUCCAGCCAUGCCGCGUGUGUGAAGAAGGUCUUCGGAUUGUAAAGCACUUUAAGUUGGGAGGAAGGGCAGUAAGUUAAUACCUUGCUGUUUUGACGUUACCAACAGAAUAAGCACCGGCUAACUUCGUG